UACGUAGGGUCCAAGCGUUAUCCGGAAUCACUGGGCGUAAGCGUGCGUAGGUGGCGUGUUAAGUGUGAUGUUAAAUCGCGGGGCUCAACCCUGUCGGUGCAUCGCAUACUGGCAUGCUAGGGGGAAGCAGAGGCAAGUGGAAUUUGUAGUGUAGCAGUGAAAUGCGUAGAUAUUACAAGGAACACCAAUGGCGAAGGCAGCUUGCUGGGCUUCUUCUGACACUGAGGUACGAAAGCGUGGGGAGCGAACAGGACUUAGAAACCCCAG
rnacentral:rRNA from 1 species